AUUGAACGCUGGCGGCAUGCUUUACACAUGCAAGUCGAACGGUAACAGGCCGCAAGGUGCUGACGAGUGGCGAACGGGUGAGUAAUGCAUCGGAACGUGCCCAGUCGUGGGGGAUAACGCAGCGAAAGCUGCGCUAAUACCGCAUACGAUCUAUGGAUGAAAGCGGGGGACCGUAAGGCCUCGCGCGAUUGGAGCGGCCGAUGUCAGAUUAGGUAGUUGGUGGGGUAAAGGCUCACCAAGCCAACGAUCUGUAGCUGGUCUGAGAGGACGACCAGCCACACUGGGACUGAGACACGGCCCAGACUCCUACGGGAGGCAGCAGUGGGGAAUUUUGGACAAUGGGCGCAAGCCUGAUCCAGCAAUGCCGCGUGCAGGAAGAAGGCCUUCGGGUUGUAAACUGCUUUUGUACGGAACGAAACGCGCUGAGCUAAUACCUCGGCGUAAUGACGGUACCGUAAGAAUAAGCACCGGCUAACUACGUGCCAGCAGCCGCCGUAACAC
rnacentral:rRNA from 1 species